rnacentral:rRNA from 1 species
GACGUAGGGGGCGAGCGUUGUCCGGAUUCAUUGGGCGUAAAGCGCGCGUAGGCGGCUGCGCAAGUCGGUUGUGAAAUUCCGGGGCUCAACCCCGGAACUGCGUCCGAUACUGCGUGGCUAGAGGUAGGUAGGGGAGAUCGGAAUUCCUGGUGUAGCGGUGAAAUGCGCAGAUAUCAGGAGGAACACCGGUGGCGAAGGCGGAUCUCUGGGCCUUAUCUGACGCUCAGGCGCGAAAGCUAGGGGAGCGAACAGG